rnacentral:rRNA from 1 species
CCUACGGGACGCAGCAGUGGGGGAUAUUGCACAAUGGGGGGAACCCUGAUGCAGCGACGCCGCGUGGGCGAUGGAGCGCCUCGGCGCGUAAAGCCCUAUCAGCAGGGAAGAAGAUGACGGUACCUGACUAAGAAGCCCCGGCUAACUACGUGCCAGCAGCCGCGGUAAUACGUAGGGGGCAAGCGUUAUCCGGAUUUACUGGGUGUAAAGGGAGCGUAGACGGCAGCGCAAGUCUGGAGUGAAAUGCCGGGGCUCAACCCCGGAACUGCUUUGGAAACUGUGCAGCUAGAGUGCGGGAGAGGUAA